rnacentral:lncRNA from 1 species
CCUAUCGAAAAAUUUUAAAAUGCAACAGGUAUAUUAGUGACGUGACGUAACAAACCAAUCAAAUUAAUUCUUUUAAGAAUAUAUGUCCCAUCAUGAUUGUAAAAAAGUAUUUUUAUUGUACUUUUGUUUGAAAAGAAGAAAUGUGAUUGGCUUGUUAUUGAUGACGUGGUGCAAGUGUGACAGUGUAGAAUUCCUCCACCCCUAUCUCUUCCCUCUCCCUUCUUUAUUAACACAAAUAUAUAUAUAUAUAUAUAUAUAUAUAUCCCAUCACCCCCAAGGCCGAAAAGAAAAGACAGGGGUUCAUGGGUCUUUGUAGCGGACCAUACUUGGACGGUGGGAGCUUAACUAAGAGUGUGCUUAAUGCUAAUAACUCUGAAUCAUCAGAUUCUAAUGGAAAGUUUAGGAAGGUUAAUGAUGAUUAAGAUAAGACAAAGUGUGCUUUGGGAAUACAACUGCAUGUGCUGUAUAAGAAGAGAAAAUGCCUCGGGUACUGCAACAAAUGAUCCUUAUAUACCACUAAUAUAUUAAUUAGUAUUAUAAAAUUAAAUCUUUCACUCCAUAUAUAGAUAUUGGUAAGAUGCCUUAAUCCAUAUUCUAAUCACUAGAAUCUUUCUUAUUAAAGAUAAAAAUACAAUAAAAAUAUUGUUUCAAAAACUAUGAAAUAGAUAAAAUUUACAAGCUAAUAUAAUUACUUGAAGGCAUCACAUUUUUGUGGAAACCAGUUGCCGGCGUGAGCGGCUUACAAUGACAACCUAAAUAUUAAAAAUUAAUUUAUUUAUAUACUUCGUAAAUUUAAAAAGUUCUAUAUAGAUAUUGUUACCUUAAACCUAAUUUUCAGAAAUUACAUAAUACCUCUUUACUAUAUCGGAUUCUAAAAUUAUAUGAAACAAAUUAGAAAUACAUUUUUAAAACUUUGGAUUUUUAUAUUACAAAAAUACUAUAUUUCUAUAAAAAUAAUUUGAAUUUUAAAGUACUUAUUUUUAAAAAUAGAUAUAUAUAACAUACUACCGGUUUCAUUUAUUUUAUUUUAAAGUAAAUUUAGCUAAAAAUAUGAAUCAAUUAAAAUUCGAAAUUGAGAUUUAGAAUAUCAACCACCAAAUUUUUUUUUUGCUAUUUGCGCUAGCAACCUCAUGUACUAAUCAUGUUGCAUGGAUGCACGCAAAACGUAGGAAAACCUUUCAUCCUCAUUGGCUGGAAAGCGCAUCCUGCAUGUGCUGCUUCCUUUGCUGGGCUGGUUGAUGUGAGACUCGGCCAAUAAAAAUAGAUUCCACGCGAAAUUAUUCAAAUUUUUUUUCUUUUUUUUUUGUCGGGAUAGUCGUUGCCCUUUCAUAGCAUCAAAUGCUUGUGGAAAAUUCUAAAUUUUUCGAUUCUCGAACACAACUAAAUGCUGUAACCUUCGUUUGGGGAAAAUAGACAGUAUAUAUACUUUCAUUCACAGCAGAAGAGUUUUAAUUAAAUUUUAAAUAUAAUUUAAGAUUAUUCUAUAAAUUUGACACGAGCUAGGCUCUACUAGGAUGCCGUACGAAUUCAGUUCUGCUACAUGCAUGAGAUAUCAUACAAACUGGUUCAGAAGAAAUGUUGUAAGUCAAAUCAAGUUAUGAUCUAAGCUAGAAGAGAACUAGACAAAAUCCAAUUGAAAACUAAGCCAUGAAAUUCAAUUUAAAAACUAGAGAAAAAUCACCUGAGAACUGAACAAAGCCGGUUGAAACAUGACUAAACCAAAGAUACUGGCAAAACAGGCCCGCAAGAAAGGUGUGAAUCAACCUCUAAUAUUACGCUAAAAGAACUCAGGUGCGACCCAAAAAUUUAAACUAAAAAAGGAUUAAAAUAGCGCUCCACGUACAUUAUAUAUAUAGAUAGAAAUUUUGAUUUCUAGUGACAAGAAUUCUAUGCAGACCAUACUAUAACAUCACUGGUGUUAUGGAAUGACCAACCAUCCUUAACAUGAGUAGCAAAGAGCUUAUUAUUUGAUAUCCGAGCUUAAUUAUUUUAUAUUAUUAACUAAAUUUAAUUCUAAAAAAAUCGACAAUAUUCCUCUCUUACCAAAAAAAAAAGCUAAUGUUAUGGAAAGAAAAGUCGUUGGGGUGACCAAAUCGUUUCAAAUAUUAUAAACAAACAAACGAGUUACUAAGGAAUGUCCCUAGUUUGGGGGGAAUUAGGAAGGGUCCCACUGAAAAACAAUCCCACCUAAAAAGAAAUAAGAAAAAGGAGAAAUAAGAAAAAGGGAAAGAGAGAAGGGGCCGAGGCGAGGCAUUCAUCGGAAGAGGCGAAGCAUUGGCCCCGGCCAUGCCAACACAAAGGGCUCGCCUCUGUUGCUUCUUUUCCCACACUUUCAUUUCCGAGGCGAGCGAUAAAAUAAAACGUCUUUACCCCCGAAUCAACACGCCCGGUGCAGUGCACUACGAUCUAAUUCCUAGUAAAAUAUUAGCACACGUCCCAUUCGCUGCUGCUGCUCGUGCUGCGUGGGAACAGCGAGUGACUGGAGCCAUCGCGAAUCAGGAACGUCCGUUUCUCCGGAUGGGAGAGCGCGAACGGGCGACAAUCCGAUUUGGAAAUGUUCUGGGUCAAGUGCAUCACAAGUCUCCGACUUUUGUUCGGUUUCGCUCUGGGCACGUAACGCUUUUUAGCUUAGGACGCUUUUCGUAAGGUAAAAAUGUACAAAAAUAUAUGUAUGACAUAUAAUUAUGUAGCCCUCACUAUUACCCUUUCAAAAUAUUAAAUUUAAUCUAAUAUGUAACUUGGAAUAUUAUGUCUUUAAUUACAGUAAUAAAAAUAUAAUUGCAUGAAUCAUGUAAAAUAACUAGACAUAGUAGGAUAACAGGUGCACACGGUUAAAUUCUAAAAUAAAAGAGCUAUCAAAUAGUUCAACUCAAAAUUUUAAUAUAAUUAUAUAGUAUUUUAAAAAAUUCAAGCAAAAAAUUAUUAUAAAUUAAAAUUUAAGGUCCAAAAUAUCAAAUAACUCAUAAUUUGAGGACCAAAUGCGUGACUAACCCUAGUCUAUAUUAAUAAAUAAGGUAAUUAAGUAUACAAAUAUACUUAGAACACAUUUUUAGUAUCUUCUCAUUUUGGCCAAUUUGUACUUUGAAACUCAAAAUAAGAGAAGUGUGAUAUUUUAAUUUUCAAAUGUCCAUUUAUUAUAAUUUCUAAUUUAGAAUUUUCAAAUUAUUAUCAGUAAGUUUCACGAUAAUAUUUAACUCGCAGAUUUGUGAUGUGUUACUGAUGUGAUGAGAUAUCUUUGUCAGUCCUGUAUUGUCCACCAAAUUUCAAUAUUAUAAAAAUAAUUUAAAAUUUUAGAAAAACUUUAAAUAUCACUUUUGUGGUUUCGUACUUUUUUUACUUUAGUACUACGUGAUUUAAAGUAUAUCACUUUCGUAUCAUAUAAUUUUAUUCUAUUUUUAUUACCCGUUCACUAAUUUUUUUAAUUAAAUUAGUGAUAAAAUUAAAACUAAAAAAUAUUAAAGUAAACUAUAAGUGAAGUAUCUGAAAUUUUUUUAUAUAUGAUUUAAUAAAAAAUUAACGAAGGAGCUGACAAAAAAUAAUAAUAAUAAUAAUCACAUGAUACUCAAUUCAUACGAGCUACAUCAUAAGGUAAUAAAAUGACAAAGUGCGAGACGCCAGGGGCGAUAUUUGAAGCUUCCCCUAAAAAUUAUGGAUCAAAGGAUGAAAAGUGCAAUUUAGCCUUACAGUUUCCCAUUUUCGGAUGCCCGUAGAUCAUAGCACAUGCACCUAUCAUUCGGAAUAAGACACAGAUUCGAACGUUGAAUGUUCAACUUGUAAAAAAACAAAAGAAGAAGAAGAAUGAGAAAAAAGAAGAAGGAGAAGGAGAAGAAUCAAAGUGAGGCGUGGUCAAAAGUUGGGUGGAAGUGUGGUGCAAUUUAGGGUUAGUUUUGCAAGGGGAGGUGACAGAGAUCGCAGUGGUGGGUAUCCGUGAAUAGUGUUCUCCCUAAUAACCGAAAUGGAAAAAUGAAAGCGACGCGUUGGGAGCAUUCGCAGAGCAUUAAUUAAUGAACUACCACCACUUGCACCAGCACCACCACCAGCACCACCACCACCACUACUGCUAUUGCUACUGCUAUAUACUGCUGCUGCUGCUGCUGCUGCGGCUGCUAAAACCAAACCAGUGUGAGUCCACUACAACCAUGUACUUCAAAACCCUUAUUUUCCGAUCUCCUUUCAAAUUGUUUCUUUGUGCUUUUUUUGUAACGUAGUAAAAGAAGCGAUAGGGAUGGAUCAUUCCAAAAAGCGAAAGCCAAGAAAAGAGAAAAAACAAAUAGUAAAGGGUUUGGAAGAGUCAAAAAGAGAGAUAUAGAGAGAGAGAGAAUGUGCUGUGUAGAGAGAGAGCGCGAAGGAAGAGAGAGAGAGAGAGAGAGAGAGAGAGAGAGGAAGCAGAAGCCAUAAAUAGCGGAGAGAGAAAGCUAAAGCAGGUACAUCCAAAAAAGGAAUCCCCGCGAGAUCCUUAUUUUGCCCUAGAAAUUGUAUGCGCCUAUCACCUGUUCGUUGUAUGUUCUCUCACACUUUUCAAUACAAACAACUAGCUAGGAAUUAAUCGCACAAUAAAAUAGUAUGCACCGCAUUAAUUAGGCGCGAGUAGGAACGAAAUCGAGCAUCGGCUAGGGUUUAGGGUUCGGACCUGGAAGAAGGAGGCGACGGCGGGGACCUCGACGGCGAUGGCCUCCACGAUGUGCUCCGGCCACAUCGCCGCGGCGGAGGAUCCCGGCGCCGAGGACGACGAUGGCUCCCCCGCCUCGGCGCCGCGGCGGCGUCGGCGGCGCCGGCGGCGGCCGAGGCCGGGAUCCGCGCUCCCCUCCCCAAUCUCCUCCUCUCCGCCGCCUCUCUCCCCCGACAUUGCUCGGUAAUCGCAAUGCGGCGGGAGAGGAAGGAGAAGAGAGCGUAGUACGGGAGAGUGUAGAGAGAGAGAGUGUGAUAGAUAGAGAGAGAAGUGGCCGAGGACUGGAGAGAGAGAGAGAGAUAGAGGGACGGGAGAGGAACCGCACAAAACGCGGCGAUAUAUAGGGGGGGAGCGGCGAUGUUUUCUACUGUUUACUUCGAAUAUUUUAAUACGAAUUAUGUUAAAUAUAAUAUAAUAAUAAUAAUAUAAUAACAUGCCUAUAGCUAUAUCUUAUUUUAUUUUUAACGCGUUACAUAAAUAAACAAAUAUUAUUUACUGUGCAGUAGGAUAUAUGUUGCGUGCUCAAAGGCGGCGUGACCGCUGCACAGUACUAGCAUGGACUAGCCGGAUAAAAGAGUCGUAGGAGCUCCGCGGGAAAAAAAUUUAGAGUACAACGGAUAUAUUGAUGACGUGGCGUAACGAAUCAAUCAAAUAUUUUUUUUAAAAAUAUAUAUUUUAUCAUGAUUGUAAAAAAAAUAUUUUUAUUGUAUUUUUGUUUGAAAAAAAAGAAUGUGAUUGACUUGUUAUUUAUGACGUGGUGCAAGUAUGAUAAUGUAGAAUUCCUCCUCCGCGGGAGACUCACAUGUUGACCGCCCAUCGUUUUUCCACUUUUUUUUUUUCUCUUCUAGGCCUGCAAAACAAUAAGAUAAAGUGAUUUAGAAAAAUUACAGCUUCCAUACACAGAUUGAGUUAUAUAUGCCCAUAUCUCAACUAGGAUGCAAACUGUGGAGAUUUGGAGUUUUUUAAUAAUUCUUUAACGUGUUAAAAUAGAACAAUAGAAAGAAAAAAUUCCUCGAUUCCUCGUCUUCUGCUUCAUUUUCUUAACGAAAUAUAAUAGACUCAAUGUUGAUUGCUUGUUUUCUUAUUUUUUGCCUCUUAUUUGGGAUGGAUCGAAACAGCCGUUGGUAAGAAAAUAUAAUCUUCAUUUGUCUUUUAUUUUUGAUGUUCUUAUCAAAGUGAAAGGCGUACUAUUAAGUAAAUAAAGAGUAAAGAAUUCUCAUCCAGCUUGUUACUUAAUUCAUUUCUCUAAUUAACGAAGUUAAUAGUAUGUUAUUUUUUUCAAAAAAAAAGAGUUCAUCAUAUAGCUAGUCUCUUAUUACAUCCGCCCUGGUGACUCUCAAUUUGGUUCUAAAUUCGUCCCCUACUUAGUCGGAGUUUUCAAUUUCUCAUUUCGAAAGUGAUGAUCGGUCUAGAACGGUGACGUCUUCAUUUUUUUUUUUUUUGUUUCAUGAGGCACCCUUUUCAUGUUCACGUUGGAUGAAAUCUUAUUUUAUGAUGAUUGCAUGGAGUUGCAACUGUAAUUUAUUGUUUGUUGUUGCUCGAAUUGGUCAAACUUAUGUAACUGCAAUUGUAAAACACGACCCAACUGCAGUAGUUGCACCUAACCACCAACAACACAACUGAUCACGCAUGGAGCUGUAGUUGCUUACUAUCUUGUUCCCUCCUUUAGUCCUUCGCAUUCUUGUGCCAGCUUCGUCACUGCUCUCGUGAAAACCCUUGCAAUGAUGGUCGCCAUUAGCGAGCGGCGAAAGCGUUUCGAGAGCCGUAAUCUCCACCGUCACCUUGCACUGCUAUUGAGAGUCGCACAACCAUUCUUUGUCGCCGCAAACACCAAAAAAGAGAAAAGGGCAAAUUUGAGUCAUUGCAACCUAUGAGAUACACAAGCAAUACUAGCUGUACGUCUUUUUUUUUUCUUUUUUUUUUGAGAUAAAUAAUAUGCUAUCCGUUUUGUUUAUUUAAUUUAGAAAUAAAUUUAGUUAGAAAUGUAGAUCACUAGGAUUCGAACUUGGAACUUCGGGUAUCAAUCACUAAAUUCUUUGCCACUUGCGCUAGGAACGAUCGAUGCUAUACUUCUAAAAUUGGAUGUAAAAUUUUCAUUCCACACAUUAUAUGAAUGUGAAUUUUUUUACUGGUCACCUCGGUGUGCCUAUUCGAAAACCUCAUCCAUGGAAUGAAUUUAGCAUGGAACCUCGGUGUGCCUAUUCGAAAACCUCAUCCAUGGAAUGAAUUUAGCAUGGAAUUUAGACCACAAAAAGGGUGUAUAGGUUACACCCUAUGCUUUCUAGGGUGUAGCUUUUUUUAACUAGUUUUAUCCCACUUUUGUUUAUUAAAAUUUUAAAAAAAAUCCCUAACACCCGUUUGGUUCGGAGUCAAGAGAUGGAAUAACCUUUUAACCCCGAAGUUAUUUCCAAACAUCCAAUUUGGGAGGUGGGGCCUAUCCCAUUCCACUACUCCAAUCAAACAAAAUACUAUUUUAUCCACUAUUCUUCUUAUCCUAUCUAUUCCAACCAAACACUAUUUUAUCUAUUCUUGGACUAAAUCCAAUUCUCAACCAAACACAAUAUUACUCUAAUCUCAUCUUAACCCUGAACUUAACUCUAUCUCUGAAAUAACAAAUUUUUACUUAAUUCCGAAUCAAACGGUGGCUAAGAAAUUAGAUC